rnacentral:rRNA from 1 species
UACGGAGGGUGCGAGCGUUGUCCGGAAUCACUGGGCGUAAAGGGCGCGUAGGCGGCCUGCUAAGUCGAACGUGAAAUCCCUGGGCUCAACCCAGGAACUGCGUCCGAUACUGGUUGGCUUGAAUCCGGGAGAGGGAUGCGGAAUUCCAGGUGUAGCGGUGAAAUGCGUAGAUAUCUGGAGGAACACCGGUGGCGAAGGCGGCAUCCUGGACCGGCAUUGACGCUGAGGCGCGAAAGCCAGGGGAGCAAACGGG